rnacentral:rRNA from 1 species
CAGAGUGGCAAGCGUUGUUCGGAAUUACUGGGCGUAAAGGGCGCGUAGGCGGCCAUCUAAGUCAGACGUUGAAAUCCCCCGGCUUAACCUGGGGACUGCGUCUGAUACUGGAGGGCUCGAGUUUGGGAGAGGGAUGUGGAAUUCCAGGUGUAGCGGUGAAAUGCGUAGAUAUCUGGAGGAACACCGGUGGCGAAGGCGGCAUCCUGGACCAACACUGACGCUGAGGCGCGAAAGCUAGGGGAGCAAACGGGAUUAGAUACCCCGGUAGUCCUAGCCCUAAACGAUGAAUGCUUGGUGUGGCGGGUAUCGAUCCCUGCCGUGCCGAAGCUAACGCAUUAAGCAUUCCGCCUGGGGAGUACGGUCGCAAGGCUG